GCUGGAUGAAAAUCACCCUGGCUUUGGCCAUAGCCAUGGAUGAGAUUCAGCACCUAGAGCCACCAGGAGCUUCAGCUCAUCUCCCACUGGACAAGCAGGAGCAAAAAGAAAACCAAAGAGUCUUCCAGC